rnacentral:lncRNA from 1 species
GACCCAGGAACCCCCUCCUCCACUCCCCUUCCUCGGCUCUGUGACCUCAUCCCGCUGGAAUGUGCUCUCCGUGGAAGAGAGCAGUGAUGCGCAGAGCUCGUCCACCGCUGGCUCUCUGGGGGGCCAUAAUCACAUUCUUGCUGUUUAUACAGUGUCUGGAAGAAGAAUGGGUCACUAAUUUGGAUGAGGAAGCUGUGGCCUCUCCCUUCCCCUGUGCUGUAGCAAGCUAGAAAGACUUCUGAAUGCACUGAAAUUUGGGGCCUUUGAAAGGAGUCCCUGAAGUUCAUCCAUUGGAAUCUUCUUUGGCUUCCGCUCUGACGGCUCUAUGUGACAGCCUCCUGGCCAGUCUUCCUGUCUUUAGUGGCCGGCUAGUUUCAGAAUGGACACCCAGUUCCUCAUGGUGGCCCCCAUGGUCCUCUGCAGCCCUGGUCGCUCCAGUUACUGUGUCCUCCAGUGUCGUGAAACACAAGAGGUUUCUCCCCAUGCUUUGUCUCCUCUCCCUGUGCGCAGGCAGCUUCUCCCUCCCGUGUUGGUCAUUCCCAUUGGCCCUUCUCUGUCUGGACCCCUACCUGCCACUCCUGAGCUGGACCUCUGGCUUCCUGCUGUAUUUGAUCACAGUGAGCUGGACUCAGAGAAGGGAGAAGGACCCUUCCUGCCUGCCCGGGCCACAACCCCAACCUGUGCCGUGUGACCUGGCUCAUCCUGUGUGUGAGAAAGGGCUCCCUCCCCUUGCUCCUCACACCUGAAGGAGGUGACUGUCACCGGCCCCCAGGUACAUCACCUGCUCCUGUGUCUGCCCUCUGCCUCGGUAAUUCUCCCUCGAAGGAGCUGCCAGUUCCUGCCAGGAUCCCAGCUGCCUGAACAGCCCGGGCUGCCCGCUGUGAGCCGCUCGCUGCAAACCCUCCUGCAGGCACAGAUGCACCCUUGAUUGGACCUCCCUCCCCUGAGCCAGUCAGAUUCUGAGCGAUCCAAGCUUCACACGUUUGCAGGACUCCGGGAAGCACUGUUGAAACUGCCGUGCUCCAGGACACACAGCUUACUUAGAACCCAGCCUCUCAUGUGCCCUAGGCCUGUGUGACAGGGUCAGACCGUGUUGGUCCCUGAGGUCACGCGAAGUUGCAUGCGGCAGUGGCCUCAGCACCCUGGACAGCAGAGGGUCAGCACCUAAGAGUCCUGCUGGGGAGAAACACCUGCCCAGACAAGGGGAUGGACAGGCCACAAGGGACACAGGCCCCUGAGGAAGAAGGAGAGCUGCAGGACGACAGCCCAGUGCCCUUGAGUUCUGCCUGUGCUUUCUGUGUCCAUCUGGAAGAUGCUUCUGUAUCUUUGCAAUACGUUUCUCUCUCACUGUCACAGGCUUCUGUCCUUGACAACCAAGUGAAGCUAGAUCAGGCCCCAAAGGUUUUUCUUCUUCGUCUUCACCUGGAUCACACCUCUCCUUCUCCCAGACACCUCCACUGUGAGCCCCGGUGGGGAAGUCUUCCCAGGACCGCCAGGAUAGCAUGGGGACCCCUGCCCUGAGCUCUUCCUUCAACCUGCUCAGGUUGUGUGUAAGGGCCUGCCUCCCACCCAACUCUCAAGUGUUCUGCUGCCCCCAGGUGGUGACAUGGGCAGGAGGCCCCUUGAAACAUCUCUGGUUCAAGGUCAAAGCCCCAAGCAGCACAGGCAUUGAACUAUCACACAGUAUCCCAUCAGUAUGUACAAUUAAAGUAUUACAUAUUAACUAAAAAGAAAAACUAGGGCCGGGGAUUUAGCUCAGUGGUUCCACCGCCUGCCCUGCAAGUGCAAGGUCCCGAGUUAAAUCCGUGGUUCCAGAAAAAAAAAAGAAAGAAAAACUGAAAUGAAAUAAGCCAGGGACCUUGGGACCAAAUGUCAAGAUGAAGGGGAGAAGGAGCAAGGAGCGUUGGAGCUCAGAGAGCUGGUCCUGCCCUGUGGCACAGUAGCAGCUGCAGCUCAAGGCUCCAUGCUGGGCUGGCUGCCCUCUCUACUUGCUGCUGUGCUCGAAUGGAGUGGAAAUCUCUUGAGGGGAGGAAGCGUAUCCCUCUGCUGAGAAAGUGAGAGGCUCAUUAUUUCACUGAGAUUUCAGACGUUGUGUUCAUUUGCUAUGGCUGCUCUGAAACUACACGAACCAGGUGGCUUAACAACAGAUAUCUUGGUCUCACAGUUCGAAAGGCUACAAAUCCAAGAUCAAGAUAUCCACGGAGCUGGUUCUGUCUGGGGCUUGUUCCAUGGCGCUCGGCUAACUUCUGGCAGCUGCCUGGCAGUAGCCGUGUCCUUUGGCUCGAGACACAUCACUCUCUACCUUCCCGUUCACAUGGAGUUCUCUCUGAGUGCUCAUCGCUGUCCAGAAUCUCUCCUUUUCUUAGGACAGAACUUGCAUCCAAUUGGAGACCCACCCUAUUCCAAUGUGAUCUCAUCUGAAUGAAUGACAUUGGCAACAGCCUUGUACUGUGUGUAGCUCCGAGGGCCUGUGGGUCACGACUCCAACAUGUGAAUGUCAGGGGUACAAAUUCAGCCCAAAACAGGUGCCAAGGGCCAGGUUGCCUCAGCAGCUGGAUGGUUUGUGAGAAGGCCCGGUCUCUUUUCUGUGCAUGCAUUCAUUCCCCAAAUCUGGUUCCCUCCUCAAAUGCUAGCUUUCUAACCUAUGUUUCUAACCUAUAGCUGUUCGUGUCCUUGCAAAAUGUAUGGGUUUAUAUUUCUAAUUCAC